AAGGAACUAACAAGGAUUCCCCUAGUAACUGCGAGUGAAGCGGGAAAAGCUCAAAUUUAAAAUCUGGUAGUCUCUGGCUGCCCGAGUUGUAAUCUAGAGAAGUGUUAUCCGCGCUGGACCGUGUAUAAGUCUCCUGGAAUGGAGCGUCAUAGAGGGUGAGAAUCCCGUCUUUGACACGGACUACCAGGGCUUUGUGAUGCGCUCUCAAAGAGUCGAGUUGUUUGGGAAUGCAGCUCUAAAUGGGUGGUAAAUUCCAUCUAAAGCUAAAUAUUGGCGAGAGACCGAUAGCGAACAAGUACCGUGAGGGAAAGAUGAAAAGAACUUUGGAAAGAGAGUUAAACAGUACGUGAAAUUGUUGAAAGGGAAACGCUUGAAGUCAGUCGCGUUGGCUAGGAAUCAGCCUUGCUUUUGCUUGGUGUACUUCCUUGUUGACGGGUCAGCAUCAAUUUUGACCGGUGGAAAAAGACUAGUGGAAUGUGGCAUCUUCGGAUGUGUUAUAGCUGCUAGUUGUAUACAUCGGUUGGGAUUGAGGAACUCAGCACGCCGAAAGGUCGGGGUUCGCCCACGUUCGUGCUUAGGAUGCUGGCAUAAUGGCUUUAAUCGACCCGUCUUGAAACACGGACCAAGGAGUCUAACAUGCCUGCGAGUGUUUGGGUGGAAAACCCGAGCGCGUAAUGAAAGUGAAAGUUGAGAUCCCUGUCGUGGGGAGCAUCGACGCCCGGACCAGACCUUCUGUGACGGAUCCGCGGUAGAGCAUGUAUGUUGGGACCCGAAAGAUGGUGAACUAUGCCUGAAUAGGGUGAAGCCAGAGGAAACUCUGGUGGAGGCUCGUAGCGAUUCUGACGUGCAAAUCGAUCGUCAAAUUUGGGUAUAGGGGCGAAAGACUAAUCGAACCAUCUAGUAGCUGGUUCU
rnacentral:rRNA from 1 species